CCUACGGGAGGCAGCAGUGGGGAAUAUUGGGCAAUGGAGGCAACUCUGACCCAGCAACGCCGCGUGAAUGAUGAAGGUCUUCGGAUUGUAAAGUUCUUUUCUUAGGGAAGCAGAAAGUGACGGUACUUCACGAAUAAGCCUCGGCUAACUACGUGCCAGCAGCCGCGGGAAUACGUAGGCGGCAAGAGUUAGCCGGAAGGACUGGGCGUAAAGGGUGCGUAGGUGGGUUGACAAGUUAGUAGGGUAAUGCCGGGGCUUAACUUCGGAACUGCUACAACCACUGUUGGACUGGAGUGCAGGAGAGGCAACUGGAAUGUCUGGUGUAGCGGUGGAAUGCGUAGAUAUUAGGAAGAACACCGGUGGCGAAGGCGAGUUGCUGGACUGUAACUGACGCUGAGGCACGAAAGCGUGGGGAGCAAACAGGAUUAGAGACCCCAGUAGUC
rnacentral:rRNA from 1 species